AUUGAACGCUGGCGGCAGGCCUAACACAUGCAAGUCGAACGGUAACAGGAAGCAGCUUGCUGCUUUGCUGACGAGUGGCGGACGGGUGAGUAAUGUCUGGGGAACUGCCUGAUGGAGGGGGAUAACUACUGGAAACGGUAGCUAAUACCGCAUAACGUCGCAAGACCAAAGAGGGGGACCUUCGGGCCUCUUGCCAUCGGAUGUGCCCAGAUGGGAUUAGCUAGUAGGUGGGGUAAAGGCUCACCUAGGCGACGAUCCCUAGCUGGUCUGAGAGGAUGACCAGCCACACUGGAACUGAGACACGGUCCAGACUCCUACGGGAGGCAGCAGUGGGGAAUAUUGCACAAUGGGCGCAAGCCUGAUGCAGCCAUGCCGCGUGUAUGAAGAAGGCCUUCGGGUUGUAAAGUACUUUCAGCGGGGAGGAAGGGAGUAAAGUUAAUACCUUUGCUCAUUGACGUUACCCGCAGAAGAAGCACCGGCUAACUCCGUG
rnacentral:rRNA from 1 species